CAAGACUCUGGACUCGGAGUGGGGGGGAGGGGCACGCUUUUUAUCGUUCUCCCAUCUUGUAGCCUCCUCCCUAGCUUUGCCGGGGAAUCCUGGAUAGAGAACUAGGCUCAGAGUCAGGAAGACAGUGGUUUGAGUCUUUCUUCUGACCUUAUUAGUUGUCUGGUGCUGAGUUAACAUCUCAGAGCUUCUACUUCUUCAUCUGUAAAAAUGGGGAUGAAUAAUUUAGCAGUUGCAGUGGAAGAGAGAGAGAGCCAGUCAGGAAGAUCUGAGUUCCAGACCUAUCCUUAAAACAAAGUGGCUGUGUGACUCAGGGUUUGAGCCCAUCAUCACAGAAUCACAGGCUCUCAGAAUGUCAGAGUAUGAAAGGAGAUCAGAGGCCCCUGAAUUCCCCUAUAAUGCACCCGCCAAAAGGUCAUCCUGCCUUUAUUUGGAGACCUCCAGUGAUGGGAAGAUGAGGAAAUGGAGGAGGAAAACAGAGGUUUGACUUGCCC